UACGGAGGGGGCUAGCGUUGUUCGGAAUUACUGGGCGUAAAGGGUGCGUAGGCGGGUCUUUUAAGUCAGGGGUGAAAUCCUGGAGCUCAACUCCAGAACUGCCUUUGAUACUGAAGAUCUUGAGUUCGGGAGAGGUGAGUGGAACUGCGAGUGUAGAGGUGAAAUUCGUAGAUAUUCGCAAGAACACCAGUGGCGAAGGCGGCUCACUGGCCCGGUACUGACGCUGAGGCACGAAAGCGUGGGGAGCAAACAGG
rnacentral:rRNA from 1 species